rnacentral:rRNA from 1 species
AGCUGGCGGCGUGCCUAAUACAUGCAAGUCGAGCGGACAGAAGGGAGCUUGCUCCCGGAUGUUAGCGGCGGACGGGUGAGUAACACGUGGGUAACCUGCCUGUAAGACUGGGAUAACUCCGGGAAACCGGAGCUAAUACCGGAUAGUUCCUUGAACCGCAUGGUUCAAGGAUGAAAGACGGUUUCGGCUGUCACUUACAGAUGGACCCGCGGCGCAUUAGCUAGUUGGUGGGGUAAUGGCUCACCAAGGCGACGAUGCGUAGCCGACCUGAGAGGGUGAUCGGCCACACUGGGACUGAGACACGGCCCAGACUCCUACGGGAGGCAGCAGUAGGGAAUCUUCCGCAAUGGACGAAAGCCCGACGGAGCAACGCCGCGUGAGUGAUGAAGGUUUUCGGAUCGUAAAGCUCUGUUGUUAGGGAAGAACAAGUGCGAGAGUAACUGCUCGCACCUUGACGGUACCUAAACCAGACAUGCCACGGCUAACUACUUGCCAGCAGCCGAGGUUAAUACGGAUGUGGCAAGCGUUGUCCAGAAAUCCUGAGCGUACAGCGGCUCGCAGGCGGA